rnacentral:rRNA from 1 species
UACGAAGGGGGCUAGCGUUGCUCGGAAUCACUGGGCGUAAAGCGCACGUAGGCGGAUUGCUAAGUCAGGGGUGAAAUCCUGGAGCUCAACUCCAGAACUGCCUUUGAUACUGGCGGCCUCGAGGGGGGUAGGGGCAUGCGGAACUGUGGGUGGAGCGGUGAAAUGCGCAGAUAUCGGGAGGAACACCAAUGGCGAAGGCAGCUCGCUGGGACGUGACUGACGCUGAGACGCGAAAGCGUGGGGAGCAAACAGG